UACAGAGGGGGCAAGCGUUGUUCGGAAUUACUGGGCGUAAAGGGCGCGUAGGCGGCCUUCUAAGUCGAACGUGAAAUCCCCGGGCUCAACCCGGGAACUGCGUCCGAUACUGGAAGGCUUGAAUCCGGGAGAGGGAUGCGGAAUUCGAGGUGUAGCGGUGAAAUGCGUAGAUAUCUGGAGGAACACCGGUGGCGAAGGCGGCAUCCUGGACCGGCAUUGACGCUGAGGCGCGAAAGCCAGGGGAGCAAACGGG
rnacentral:rRNA from 1 species